UCCAGCAUUGGUGGGAACUCCUUUAAUACUGUUUAAAAAGCAUCUCAGGGGGAUUCCUCAAGAAAUCGGGUGAGAAAAUGCCACGUGGCUUCGUCAAACAUGUUGCUUCACUCCAAGAAGUUAAUUACGUGCUUUUCAAAGGCAGUAAGAGGGUUAUAGUAAGGGAGGAUGACAUGUCCACAGAAAAAAAUUACCCACGUUUUUCACCGCGAUAAAUAUAGUUUUAUAUUUGAUAUUUGCUGGAUAUUCACUUUCCCCUGUCCUUGUUCGAUAGAGGCAACAGUCUUACACAUAUAUCAAUACCACCAUUAGUUUUAAUAUUAUUCGGUUAUUAUAUACAGACAUACAACUUUUACUCAAAAGCCAGUGGGAAUUAGAGAUGCAUAUUCACACCUGAGAAUGUUGACCCGGUAUCACUGUGCAAGUUGCCCAAGGGACCGUCAGGCAAUUCCACCCAUUGAGUUAAAACAUCAACAGGACCGACGGAACCCGCCUCGUGAGUGUAGAAUGCACCGUUGCUUUCAGCCAAUAAAUUCAUAGAAAAAUACUGCAAUUUUCUGGCAUUAUGAUGUGACUGUUUGUGGCAGCCUACAGCCCUUCCUCAAACUUCUCAACACACAGCCCACCUCAGAUUUCUUUUAAUCAAUACACGAAUCAUAAAAAAUAAAAGAUUAAUGUUGUCUUUGCAUAAGUUCUGAUUGAGUGGGCAAGACAGACGUCUGGAUGGGCUCAGACCACCCCUACCCAUGCUUAGAUCUGGCCCGAAACAUCAACGUUGGCGUUAGAAUGGCCCAGUCAAUCUUGAAUCCAACUGAACAAGAUUUAAAGACAAUACGUUUAGAAGAAUAGGUCAAGAUCACACCUGAAUACUGCGGAACAUUAAUUUCUUCAUACAGGAAGUGUCUUGAAGCUGUCGUUACAAAUAAAGAUUUCUCCACUAAGUAUUAAAAACAUUUCAGUUAGUGUGUUCAAUUCUUUUUUCCCCAUGUCUUGUGAAUUCUUUAUAUUUCUGGAUUUCUUGAAUUAAUACUGAUGUCUGGUGAAAAUUUCAUGUGAAUAACCUCAUAGGAAAUAUAUUUACUGAAAGAAAUGUUGACGUGUCCAAUACUCAUUUCCCCCACUGUAAAUCCUUUCCAUGACUUUCCAAGAGAGGAAAAAAUAUAGAGAGAGAUGGAUUAUGGAAGUCAGAAGAGAAAAAGAUAUCAAAUUUAC
ensembl:lncRNA